CAUAUAAGCGCGCAGAAACGAACGCGACAAAUUAUAUGCAGAACUAAUAAGAUUCCAUCCAUUCAGAGAAUAGAACAGCAUACAUUUUUGGGCACUCACGCUGGAGCUGUGUGUAGGCUGACUAUGGGUACUCAACCGUUAAACGUCAUAGAAAAAAGCAUGCCCUUCUCAAAUACAUUUGAAUACUAGAAAAGUAGUGUUCGAGGAGGUUUAUGUGCAUAAUCAGCAGCGGCAAAAAGCGUGUCGCGCUGGCAUCAACGGGAUCCAGGAGGGCAUAUACAGAGUCUGCUGCAAGAAAUUGCAUGCUGAUACUGUAAGAUAUUGAAUCUUGGUCUGAAAUGAAGGACUUGUGGCAAGUUAAGUAGUCCUGCUCUCUAGUCUCUAGGGUGCCAAGCUGUUUAAACGGCUGAAUGCUAUGGACAUCGGACAAGCAUUUGCCUGUUGGAUUACAUCUACCCAGUGAAGUAUAGCUCGGUGUCAUCUAUUGCAACAUUCUUGUUGACGAAUCAACUUUAAGGCUGCUAUGCUUCCUAGAAAAAUCUUCAUUUCAUCUUUUUUGUAUUGGCUGCUGCUGCAGGUUCCCUAACAUUCACAGCUCUCAAGGCCCGCUGUUGCCGAAAAGGAUUUCCGGGGAGGGCUCCUUGCCGUGAACACGCGCGACUUAUCCGAGAGCCUUACACAUAAAUAUAUUGGAAGCAAUCCUCGUUGGGGGAGCUCGCUAGCGAUGAGAAUCCCGUCGCCUUUUGGAGUUGGGAAGGAAAUAUUUUACACUAUGCCGAACAGGGGCGCGAUUUAGGCGAGUCCUUCCCAAUACCCGACAUGGAGGUCCUCGCAAAUUUCCUUGAUGAAUGUCUAACAGAACAACCUGUUUUCAGUAUGUGCGGCUGUCGUAACUACCGCUACGUUUAAAUCCGAAACGGAGACACCCGCGUUUAAGCUAAUCAGUGCCAUUUUCUUUAGCUUAUGAUAAGAGGUGCCGAUGGCUUUGUAAGUCCCGAGGAUCCACGCGGAGCCGACCAUUCAUCCGAUGCGCAUUUAGGUCCUCAAGGCAUCCAGCUUAGAAAGGUGGAGGGUAGUCACCUUGCCUUCAACGUCCGCAGUGCCAGCCGCACUAUCCAGGUCGUAGCACAAGGCCCGUAGGAGUCCUGCAGCCCAUUCCCCGGCAACACAAGACGUAACUCCUUAAACACACGAUGGUACAUGGACCCUUCUGGAUCAACCAGUUUAAGGCUAGCCUAGCCCAGAAGAAAUGAAGGGGGUGCUGAUUAACUUUCCGGAAAAAUACGUGCAUUCGGAGCGGUUUCCACGUAUAUCAGUGAGCAAAGGAACGUACCCUGUAGCCCGACCAUCCGAUCCGUUUGAUGGGAUGCCUAGAUGCGGACGCAUGUAUGCUCGUAUGCACGAGCUCCCUAUCCCGGCCUUCCUAAUUCCCAACAUCGCUAGCCCAGUAAUCUGCCAUACGAGAAUACUUACAAAUAGUCUCGAUGACACGGCGGCAGUCAUACAGGUGUUCGCCCCAAUCAUCCUGCGUGGGCGAAAUGUAGUCCCUAAGUGUCUCCUCCAGUAAGCAAUUCAUUCGCUUGGUUUGACCAUCCGUCUAUGGGCGAUAGGCUGUGCUCAUAUAGAGGUGGGUGCCUAUGAGGCGAAGAGUUUCCUUACUGAAGUGGCUUGUAAAGAGUGUGUCCCAGUCAGACACAAUAUUCUGCGUAAGGCCGUGCUGCCUAAAAACCGUAGCCAUAAAAAACCGGGCUAGCUCUACCGCACCGACGGGUGUAGUUGUGGGAGCAACAUGCAUCAUUUUGCUCAGGUCGUCCACGAAUACAACUAUCGCGUCUAUGCCCAAUCCGGGUUGGUGGUAGCUGUGUGACCAAAUCCAUUGACACACUCUCCCAGACAUUACCUGGAAUGGGAAGGGGAUGCAGCAGUUUGCCUGGCUUUUGGUU
rnacentral:lncRNA from 1 species